GACGAACGCUGGCGGCGUGCUUAACACAUGCAAGUCGAACGGAAAGGCCCUGCUUUUGUGGGGUGCUCGAGUGGCGAACGGGUGAGUAACACGUGAGUAACCUGCCCUUGACUUUGGGAUAACUUCAGGAAACUGGGGCUAAUACCGGAUAGGAGCUCCUGCUGCAUGGUGGGGGUUGGAAAGUUUCGGCGGUUGGGGAUGGACUCGCGGCUUAUCAGCUUGUUGGUGGGGUAGUGGCUUACCAAGGCUUUGACGGGUAGCCGGCCUGAGAGGGUGACCGGCCACAUUGGGACUGAGAUACGGCCCAGACUCCUACGGGAGGCAGCAGUGGGGAAUAUUGCACAAUGGGCGGAAGCCUGAUGCAGCAACGCCGCGUGCGGGAUGACGGCCUUCGGGUUGUAAACCGCUUUCGCCUGUGACGAAGCGUGAGUGACGGGAAUUGGUAAAGAAGCACCGGCUAACUACGU
rnacentral:rRNA from 1 species